CGAGGGGCUGGUCCAGAAGGAAGCUCAGGCUGUCUGACUCCUUCACAGCCAACAUCUGUGCCUGGCUCCUGCCCUGCCCUGUCCCGGAGCUGCACCCUGCCUCCCCAGCUCUCUACUUCCUCUCUGCAUGGCUUCCUUCUCAGCAGCCCCAGGGGCAUAGUCUUUCUUCUGAAAGACCCACACUCUCAGGGGAGCCCCAAAGAGCUCCCUCACGAAGCUUCCGUGGGACUCUAUCCGUGGAUGCCUAUGGGUUGAGCCCACUGGCUCUGCACAGACCUCCUCAGGCAGCGGGCAGAGGUCUGCAGAGAGAUGAGACCAUGCCCCAAGGGGAGUGAUGAAGAUGCUAGUUCAUGCAGGACUGUGCCAGGGGGAGGCCCACCAACAGCAGCAUCUGGAGGGCCCUCCCACGUCCCACGGGCUCGGGCUCUCCUCUCCCUGGUGGGGUGACGUCUGGCAGCCUGCAAGCCUGGUCCAGGUGUGCAGUGGAAAGAUGAACAGGAAUGUGCCUCUGGGGGAGGACCUCGCCUUCCUCAUGUCGAUGCCAGCUCGCUCCACAUCCCCUGUGCCUGUGCAGGACAGACACAAGUUACUCACGGGCACUACCGAGGGUCUCGGAGCAAACGCUAACACCUGCUGGGGAUGAGACAAUGUACCGAGAUGGGCUGUUGGGAUCCUUCCCUUCCAACUCAGGAGACGUAAAGCGCUCAGGCCCCCUUUCAGGGAAAGGGGCAUUGUGUUUUCUGGGGGUACCUAACCCAGAGUCUUUGAGAGUGACUGCUUAGGCCACAGGGUCAGGCAAUGUUUCCAGGGAAGAGAGAAAGAAC
rnacentral:lncRNA from 1 species